rnacentral:rRNA from 1 species
AUGAUUGUGGGCAACAAUGAGAAUGGUGCAUCUGGGUACGGUAAUUUAUUUACUGUUUUUUCAGUGUUUCAACCCAACGAUUGGUGGGUGGACAUAGGUGCAGGUGUUCAUGUGUGUGUUGACAUUCCAUUGUUCACUUCUUACCAGGUCACAGGUCACGGGUCCGUAUUGAUGGGGAAUGGCGUGAGUGCUUCUGUUCAUGGUGUUGGCACGGUCGAUCUGAAGUUUACUUCGGGAAGGAUCGUGCAGCUAAAGAACGUGCGGCAUGUCCCCGCCAUCAAGAAGAACCUCGUUAGUGGCUCCCUUCUAUGUAGAGAAGGGUUUAAGUUGGUUUUUGAGUCUAUUAAAUUAGUUGUUACAAAAUAUGGACUCUUUGUUGGAAAAGGUUAUGAGAGCGGAGGGAUGUUCCGCCUUUCCCUCGCAGAUUUUUGUAAUAAAGUCGUGAACCAUAUUCAUUCGAAUGUUAAUGAAUCUGAAGUUUGGCAUUCACGUCUUUGUCACAUUAGUUUUGGUGUUAUGACGCGGCUAGCCAAGUUGGAUUUAAUCCCGAGUUUCACUUUAGCCAAAGGUUCUAAGUGCCUUUCAUGUGUGCAAGCUAAGCAACCUCGCAAGCCUCAUAAGGCCGCGGAGGAGAGACACCUGGCACCAUUAGAACUCAUACAUUCUGAUCUUUGCGAGAUGAAUGGUGUGUUGACUAAAGGUGGAAAGAGAUACUUCAUGACAUUG